AUACAAGCUGACCCGGUCUUAAUCCGGAUAACCCGAUUAUUCAUUUUAUUUUUCCAAAGAGGGAAAGAAAGAAAAACAGAAGAGCUUCUAAUAAAAAGAAAAAGAAGAAGACGACGACGACGGUGACGUUCACGAACUCUAAAAUUUCAGGGAAGACGAUUAUUACUCGGAUCAAAUCAAAGAUAUCAGGAGAGAGAGAGAUUCAAUGAAGCUCCUUUAUAAGUACCAAAAGCGUUCAGGUGUCUCGUCUAGAUCUGCUCGAGAAGGAGAAGAACGAGCUGUUAUCAGCGGAGAAGAAGAAGAUAGGAUAAGCUCAUUACCUGACCCGUUGUUAUGUCACAUACUUUGCUUUCUCACCACUGAGCAAGCUGUUUGGACAAGCGUUUUGUCCUCUAGAUGGAGAUACCUCUGGAAAUGGGUUCCUAGGUUAGAACUAGACAGCUUUGAUUUCACUAACGACAAGGUCUGUGUUGAUUUCAUCGACGAGUUUCUUGCUUUCCAAGGCAAGUCCUACUUGCGUGAGUUCAAGUUAAGCAUUGACCAUGAUGUCUCCAACAGUAAUCUUUCUCUUUACGGGCCGUGUCUCGGUAAAGUGGUUGAUUUGCGGAAGCUUGAACGUUUCCAAGUCGAGAAUGAGUUUGAACAUGGUGGCAUUGUUUACAUCCGGUUUACUCUUUCUGCGUCUGAGGCAUUGGUCUCCUUAAAGCUCCAUUCCGUUUGGCUGAAUGAUUUUAAGUCUCUUUCCUUGCCCUGUCUCAAGAUCAUGUUCCUCGAAGACGUUGGUCUUCCUAACGAUGCGGCUGCAGAGGAGUUGAUCUCCUGCUCUCCUGUUCUACAAGUUUUGAAAAUAUGCCUUUGUAAAUAUGAUUCUGUGGUAGCUUUACGUGUCUGCUCACCGUCGUUAAAGAGCUUCACUUUGAAACGAGUGGAGCCUCGUUAUUCUCGUGGACAUUCUGUUGUGAUUGAUGCCCCGAAGCUCGGGUAUCUGAGUCUCACCGAUUACUACCAUUUCAGCAGCUUUGAGAUAACCAGUGUGGCUGACUCUUUCAAGGUUGAUAUCGAUGUCGAGUUUGAGCUAAUGAGUGAUUACUUGAUGGAAAUGAAGAUCGUCUACAAUCUUCUCAAGAAUUUUUCAGGUGUUACAGAAAUGACCAUAUCUUGGAAAACUCUGGAGUUUAUAUAUAGUUUCCAUCAGACGAACCCAGUCCCCAAAUUUCAUGACUUGACUUGUUUGCGUGCCACUAUGUGUUUAAACGCAUCCCCUAAACUAUUGCCAAUCGUUCUUGAGAGCUGCCCCAAUCUGAAACACUUGAAAUUGGAACUGUUUCUUGAUCCAGUCAGAAGGCUGUCUGAACGCUCCACUGUGCUGUCUCGUUGUUUGGUGUCGUCUCUUGAAUCUGUUGAAAUGGAAAGCCCGGUCACGGAGAUAGCUAUUGAACUGGUUUUGGCUAGAUACUUUAUGAGGAACUCGACAACACUCAAGAAGCUCGUUCUACGUUUGAAUCAGUCUUCUACUGGAGAGAAACACAAACCUGGUGUCCUGGAACAACUCAAGAAAUAUUCAAGGCGGUAUAAAUUGUCUCAGUUUGAAGUUCUUCCAGUGGUUCCAACUCCGAGUCCAUGGCCUGGGUAUCUUUAUGUAAAAUCCAAUAGGUUUUAAAACUGCAGUUAAAUCCAUUGGAUAGAGUUGUGAUGGAUACUCCGGGACUUGAGUAUCUGAAUCUCAUAAAUUACCAGUACACAAGCUUCCAGAUAGUUAGCUUGAGUGAAUCUGUCAAGUUUGAUAUCGACGUGGUGUUAUCCAUCACUUGUAAUUUUCUAACCUUUGUUUCACAUGCUAGAGAUAUGACCAUCUCAAGGAGGACUAUUGAGUUCAUCUAUUAUCACCUGGAAAUAAACAGACGAUCCAAAUUUCAUGGCUUGGCUCGUCUUCGUGCUACAAUCUUCUUAAACUCUUCUCCAGAGAUUUUGCCAGUCAUUCUUGAGGCAUGUCCGAAUCUCAAACACCUCACCUUGGAACUGGUUCAUGAUUUUCUGGUGACGGAGGGAACAAGUAGACUUCUGAAUCUGGUUCCUCCUCCUUUGAUAUCGUCCCUUGAAUCCGUUGAUAUCGAAAGCCCCAUCACGGAUAAACGGAACUGGAGCUGGUUAGAUACUUUUUAGAGAACUCAACAGCACUCAAGAAGCUUGUUCUACGUUUGAACUCGGAAAAAAAAAACACAUGCCUGGUCUGUUGAAACAACUCGUUGAAUCUCCAAGAUGCUCUGGUUUGUGUCAGUUUGUCAUUCUUUGACAUUAAUUUAAGAUGUUGAUGCGUUCGUUAUGUACUGUUUAACUUUGGAUUAUACUGUAAAGUUUCAAGCUUUUUGUAACAUUUUAAUUAAUUUAAAA